CACGUAGGGUGCGAGCGUUUGUCCGGAAUUAUUGGGCGUAAAGAGCUCGUAGGCGGUGUGUCGCGUCGGCCGUGAAAACCUGCAGCUUAACUGUGGGCGUGCGGUCGAUACGGGCAUCACUGGAGUUCGGCAGGGGGAGACUGGAAUUCCUGGUGUAGCGGUGAAAUGCGCAGAUAUCAGGAGGAACACCGGUGGCGAAGGCGGGGUCUCUGGGCCGAUACUGACGCUGGAGGAGCGAAAGCGUGGGGGAGCAAACAGG
rnacentral:rRNA from 1 species